UACUGAAAGAAGUUCAACUGUAGGUAAAAUGCUAUCAAAGAGCAUCACAUGCUACAGAGAAAUCACUCAUGAAAGGAAGAGUCCAUCGAUGCAGCAAACUUCAUUAUCUUUUUUUAGACAGAAAGAAAAAGAAAAAAGAAAUUGCUACAGCCACCCUAACCUCCAGCAACCACCACCCUCAUCAGUCAGCAACCAUCAACAUAUCUCACCAGCAAAAAGAUUACAGACAAUGUUUAGCAUUUUUUAGCAAUAAAAUAUUUUUAAGUUGA